UAAAGUGCUCGUCUGGGGGGCGAGAGAGCGGAGGUUCGAAUCCUCUCAUCCCGA
rnacentral:tRNA from 1 species